UUCCACUUCCAAAACAUUAAAAAUACCUAAUUCCAAAACAUUAAACAUAAACAUUAAUUCAAAAACAUUAAACAUAAACAUUAUUGACAUUCUUCCAUUUCAAUAACAUUGGAUGUCACCUUAGUAGAACCUUCAUCCAUUUUUUCAUAAUUAUAAUCUUCCCCGUCAUCUGCAUAUAUUAAAACAAUGACAAUUAAUUAAUUAAUGUUUCAUAAAAAUAAUACAAUAAAAAUAAGAUAACUUUUGGCUCAAUUGAUGGUUUGGUCAUGGGUAACUUCUAAAAUAUCCUCUGCUUACUUCUCCUUCUCUAACUGGUGUCUUGCUCCUUUAUCGUGUUUGAAAUUGAUUUAAUUGGCAUGACCCAGUUUAGGUUGUCCUGCUGCUACUAAGUGUCAAUAUUUUUUUCUUGCGGGUUUGCGGGCCAGCCCGCCCCGCCCCGCAACUGGCCCGCGCGGGUUGCGGGCUAAUGCGGGUUAGCGGGUUGAAAAGGUCAUCCCGCCCCGCGUUUUUUACUUGCGGGCCGCGGGCCGGCCCGCACGGCCCGCCCCGCUUUGCCAUCCCUAAAUAUCAUCUUAGUGUUGUGCUAAGACCCUAACUUGCUCUACCAAAUCAAUUUAUAAGACUAGAAUUGCCCAUGUUUUAUUUAAGUCAUUUCUCUUGUAAAAGUAUCUCAGUAAAUAUUUAGAAUUAUACGCCUCAAGACUAGUAUUAAUCACAGGUUUGCCGCAGUGGAAUGCCUUUAUCUAUAUGAGUGAGGUGCAAUUGGAUAAUAGUAAUACCCAAAUUGUCAAUUGUUGGGAUUUCGACUUGUUAGAAGUUUAUAUUAUCUUUCGAGCAAAAGUUGUUUAUAGUUGCAUCUUGCUGUAAAUAUAUGAAUCUGAAUAAGUAGAGAGAUCUAAGUUAAGAUCUCUCAAACUCUUUUUGUCAUAUAUUCUCUUUAAGUUGGUAUCAAAGUGGGUCAAUCCCGCUCCACCUGUAUUGUCUGACAAGAAAGCACUUUCUGCCAUCACCUACUGUCUUCGACUGCUUCUGUUUUUUUCUGGCGACCACAUGAUCUGAAGCUUCUCUCUAAGCGAUGCCUAGCAGUGAAUCCUGGUUCUCCUCAACAGUGACUUAACUAGGUUAAAUUCAACAAGAUUAAAAACUCAUAGGUAUUAGUUUUGACUUCAGUUCAUUAUAUGAAUUAGAAUACUAAUUAUGCACACAACCAUUCAAUAGUUGUAUAUGAUACAAUUGAAAAUUGUUUAGACCUAAAUAGCCUACUGAUCAUAAGUGAUCAACUAGAGUUGGCCUUUGACGAAAUAUGGAUCUUGACCCACUAAAGAAAUCUAACAAUGGGAUAUCUUCGAAUGAAUGUUGAGGGUCAUUGAAAGGAUUAGUGACAAAACAAGUCAUGGAGGAUGAUACACUCCUGGAAGAUAGAAUCCGAGAAGGAAUACAAUGAAUUUCGUGAGGUAUUCUUUUUUAAAAUGAAGAAAAUAUACAAUAAUAAGGAACAUAAUCAAUAUCUAAUAACAAGAAAUAUUUGGUAAGACAUCUCCCUAUCAAAUCAUAUCAUAUCUCUUAAUGAAAUUAAAUCAUAUCUCUAACAGUUCAAAUGCCCUUAGAGCUGACAAAGAUAUGUCCAUUAAAGGUAUCCAGAUGGCACACUUGAUAUUAGAUGUCGAAUGAUGGUUAUCGUGUAUUACCAUGAGAAUAUUCAUACGUCAUAAACUUAAGACUACCAAGGGAAAGCAUGUCAUGAGAGGUUUGAAUAUCAAAGGUCCUUUAUUAAUGUAAGUUAGCAGAUGAUUGAAUACAUUGAAAACCUUGAAAGGCUUGGGUUUCCAUUAAGCCAAUAGUAUAGACUCUUGAUUUUUCCUACAAUCAUUGCUAGAGGAAAAAUGCAAACUCAGGAAGCCCAAGAGUAACCUAAAGGGAAAAAGACACCGAGACAAAGAUAAGGCUUGCACCUCUAUCUUAAAGCCAAUGGCAUGAGUGGUGAAAGAAAGAACUUGUCUUCUCUUCGGCAAAUAGGACAUUGAAAAGGAGACUUUGUGUAAGUCUCGAAAGAGUAUGAGAAAUAGGGAAGUGAAACAUUCAAUUUGCAUCUUAGGUAUUAGAUAUUGGAUGUGGAUUCCACAUUUGUUUGAAUUUGUCUAGUAUAAGACUGAGUAAGAGUAAACCAUUGGCUAAAGGUAGCGUAGACCUACCCAUGUAAGUUUAGUCUCAUCAACCCAUUUAGAGGUAGGCUUUCUCAGACCAUACUAUAAACUAGGCUUGUAAAUAAUAGACUUUUCAAGAUAUAUCUUGUAAUGUCUAGCCAAGCCUAGUCCAUUUUCACCCUUAGUUUACAAUUGUUACUUAAUAUAUUAUGAUCUAUUAGGAGCCGAUAAUAUUACUUUAUCGAUUUUUUAGAUGUGAUAAUAUACAAGUUUAAUCAUUCUGUAGUUCCUUUCAAGUUAGAAAAGAGUUUAAAUCAUUGAUAAAUUAAGGAAUAUCCUGUCAUGUCUUUGAAGGUUGUUUUUACGUUAAACUUAGUAUAGUUCAGGUAUGAACUAUCCCCUAUUAUAAUAUUAAUUGAGCCAUUUCUUAUAUGUGCUUAAAGGCAGAGCUCAUAUACAAUUUUAAAUUCUGUUUGCAUUUUCAAGAAUAGUUCAGUGAAAUCAUUCAUGACAUUGAGGAAUAUCCUGCCUGUAGCUUUUGUGUCUUUGAAGGCUUUUUUAACUUCAAACUGAGAUGACUUCAGGUAGAUACGGUUGAAGGUUUACGGGAUCUUCAUAUUCCUUCAGGGAUUCAACCUGGAGAAUCAGUGAAGCUGUCACGUUUGGGAGUUCCAGACAUGAAAAAACCGUUUGUUCGAGGCAAUCAUUACUUCAUUGUGAAUGUUCUUAUUCCAAAAAAUAUCAGGUCUGUAUUUUUCUUAGCAUUGUUUCUUAUAUCCCCUAAGAGAGAGUUCAUCACAGAUUGUCCUGUUUAGAAUUUUGCAUGUACUAGAAGUUUCUGAGUUUUUGUUCUUCGAAAGAGGUUCCCAACAGCAGCAACUUUUAGUAAAUAUUUUAUUCCCUUGUCUAUUAGAGGCCAGAAUCCUUAUUGCACUUCUGUGGAUUUCAUUUAACGUUGCUAUUGGAGAACAAAUUACUCCUUGUCUUAUAAUCCCAGUUUCCAGCAGUUACAAUAGAGUGAUCAUUCCACUUUCAUGAGAAUAUUCAGAACAUAUUACUUCAUAGUCUAUUGCCUACAAUACACAUGAUGCUUUCUUCGUAAUUGAAUACUUUUGUUACUUGCAUAUGUGUAUUUAUGCUAAGUUUCUCAUAGUUAUGAUUUCCUUUUAUCUUUAAAUUGUGCUUGUACUAGUGGAACCGAACGUGUGCUUGUUGAGCAGUUAGCUUCACUAAGAGCUUCUAACAAAAGGGAUCCACUGUCUUCUGGUGACAAUGGUAUUAGUUCUUUAUAAUCGGAUACUUUUUGAAAAUAAAAAUAUAUAACAGGUUAAAAUUAUGCUGAACAUAUUUGAACCAGAAAAAUUGUUCAGAAUUCUCUUUUAACUGCUUUCCAGGAAUACCUAAAAGAAAGAUCAAUGAAUUCACAAAGAGGAGGGAUCCAAGGGGCGAUGGUUCAAGCAAGGGAAUAAAAAAAGUUGACUCUCUAUGGGGAUCGAUCAAGAACUUCUUGAGGUAUAUCCUAGUUGUGCUUUAUGCUAAUGCUGAUGGAACAAUCAUGAAUAUUUUCAGAUGACUAUUUAGAUAUUGGACUUUGUAAUUUAUCUUAAACAAAGUAAGAAAACUACACUAUCAUCCUUCAUGAAUAACAUAGAUAAGACUCUUACCAAUCUUUUUAUGUACAGUGGAGGACAGUCCAAUGAAAGGUUUGCUUCAAUUAGCAUGGAUACAUCAGCUUU
rnacentral:lncRNA from 1 species